rnacentral:rRNA from 1 species
AGAGUUUGAUCCUGGCUCAGAACGAACACUGGCGGCGUGGAUUAGGCAUGCAAGUCGAACGAGAACGUUCUCUUCGGAGAGCAAGUAGAGUGACGAACGGGUGAGUAACGGGUGGAAAACCUGCCCUUCAAUGGGGGAUAACAGUUCUAACGAGCUGCUAAUGCUAAUACCGCAUACGACCUUAGGAUCGCAUGAUCUCUAGGUGAAAGGUGGCGAUCUCUUCGGAGAGCUGCCGUUGAAGGAUGGUUCCGCCUCCCAUUAGCUAGUUGGUGGGGUAAUGGCCUACCAAGGCGACGAUGGGUAGCCGGCCUGAGAGGGUGUCCGGCCACACUGGGACUGAGAUACGGCCCAGACUCCUACGGGAGGCAGCAGUCGAGAAGCUUCCGCAAUGGGGGAAACCCUGACGGAGCGACGCCGCGUGAGUGAAGAAGGCCCUAUGGGUUGUAAAACUCUGUCAGAUUGGGAAGAAAGCACCGUAAUUAAUACCUACGGUGUUUGACGACCAUCAGAGGAAGCACCGGCUAACUCCGUGCCAGCAGCCGCGGUAAUACGGAGGGUGCAAGCGUUGUUCGGAUUCACUGGGUAUAAAGAGCUCGUAGGCGGCUUCGUAAGUCAGAGGUGAAAGACCACGGCUCAACCGUGGGAACGCCUUUGAAACUACGAAGCUUGAGGCCCGGAGAGGAAAGCGGAAUUCCUGGAGUAGCGGUGAAAUGCGUAGAUAUCAGGAGGAACACCAGUGGCGAAGGCGACUUUCUGGACCGGUUCUGACGCUGAGGAGCGAAAGCCAGGGGAGCGAACAGGAUUAGAUACCCUGGUAGUCCUGGCCGUAAACGAUGGGCACUAGGUGUGGGGGGAUCGACCCCUUCCGUGCCGCAGUUAACGCAUUAAGUGCCCCGCCUGGGGAGUACGACCGCAAGGUUGAAACUCAAAGGAAUUGACGGGGGCCCGCACAAGCGGUGGAGCAUGUGGUUUAAUUCGAUGAUACGCGAAGAACCUUACCGGGGUUUGACAUGUAUCAGAAGAAUUGUGGAAACACGGUUUGUCCCUCACGGGACUGCUGCACAGGUGCUGCAUGGCUGUCGUCAGCUCGUGCCCUGAGGUGUUGGGUUAAGUCCCGCAACGAGCGCAACCCUCGUACUUAGUUGCCACCAUUCAGUUGGGCACUCUAGGUAGACUGCCGGCGUUAAGCCGGAGGAAGGUGGGGACGACGUCAAGUCAUCAUGGCCCUUAUGUCCAGGGCCACACACGUGCUACAAUGGACGGUACAAAGGGUCGCGAACCCGUGAGGGGGAGCUAAUCCCAAAAAGCCGUUCUCAGUUCGGAUUGGAGUCUGCAACUCGACUCCAUGAAGUUGGAAUCGCUAGUAAUCGCGGAUCAGCACGCCGCGGUGAAUACGUUCCCGGGCCUUGUA